GAAUGGGAGGCGUGCAAUCGUUAACGCUUAACGCUAACGCCGCGUGGUGUGCUGGUGGUGUUGGGGAGAAGGAGGAGGAGGGAGAGAGAAGCGUGAUUGGUUAGGCUCAUGUUGAGCGGCAUGAACGUGCGUGUGUAUCCGUCUAGGUUAGGCUGACAUGUUUUCGCGGCGGCAGGCGGCGAGUGCACCUUCUCCCUCUCCCUCGUCCCCUCUCCCCUUCCUAAAGGUGCUGAUAUACGUUGGAGGACCUUAUCAGAUCAAGGAUUUAGGAAGAAGGUAAGACCGUCUAUAGUUCUCUAGUAAGUCCAGAGCGUGGAGACUCACCCACACCUAAACGUUGUUAAGACGUUAGUUGAAUAGUGACGGAGACCCUCAUUGGGGUAGUAUGUAGACCUCUAAUGCCGCUCGUGACCUCCCUGAAAAACAACUAAUGCCAAUUAACUCCUAUCAUCGACUCUACAUUGUUUAAAAAACUCGACUCGAGAGAAGGUUCUGUCCGGAGACUAAAUCGUUACACUAACCUAACUGAGACAAAAACCUAGACCACAAUCGAGUCAACUGUGAUCUCAACUGAAUACCAAUCCAAAAAGACGAAAAGUAGGAGUUGAUGUGUUGUCUUUGGCUUCCCCACGAAAGACGAUCGUCUACUCUGGUACGAGUGACAAAGUUUCUUUCUAAGAGUCCUUGUUUGUCACUUCAAGUGACGACCUAGUCGCUCGGGCUUGGUCUACCGCCCACUUUUAUUGGUAAGUCAACGAUCACCCGUCAUACUAUAAUUGAGUAGUAGAGUGGUUCUUACGACCUCUAGACUACUUACCUUAUCUGUACGUACGAGACUACUACUGUUCCUCCUCUUUCAACCCGUGGAUGUCUUCUCAGUCAGAGAACCUUUGUACGAAGUUCUCCUAACACUAGUAGUACCGUCACUUCCAUGACUUACACUAUAAUGUCUGGUACUAAUGUCUUCGGUAACGAGACCAAAGUUCUCGUUAUGUCUACAACUUCUUAGGUGAUCCGAUCCGUCGUUCUUGUUACCCUUACAAAAACUACGGAGUAGACUGGACUAGUCAGUACCACAAAUACUUGGAAGUCAACUAGUACGACGACUGAGACUGUCCGUAGUGAGAAUACUAGUAUUCUUUAAAGGUUCCAGUGUUAGACGAUAUAAAGUCUUAUUAAGACUAUCACUAGCUCUUCAAAGACAACUAAGACUCUCUGAUCCGGGGGCAACGUCUAGAAAACUCCUAAAUACAAGUUACCUGCCACUUUUCCAACUAAUGAACUCACCGCUACUUUGUUUAGCGAGCUUUAGUUUAAACGUACACGAAACACGACCUGGAAGAAGCGGUCCAUAGAGACUUCGUAAUCCGAACCUCCUAACAAGCCCUCCAGCUAGACCACGACGACUUCUACCGGUUGCCAGGAGACGUUCACACCUACCUUUAAAACACUCCCUACCCUACGAUUCAGUACUGAUGACCCUACCGUUUAUAUAACGACGACUAUUGUUUCGAAUAGGUCAACGGCGAACGACACGGCUAAGUCCCGUAUUAACACAGUAGUUACCACGAAAUCUAGUUCUUUCGUUUCUCUUUAACACCGUGUCUUUAUCACUAGAGAUGGUACUCAGUGAACCGUAACUGUACGGAUUAAACUUCUUGGACAGACUGAGCUUCCUAUAAUCACUCCUUCGACUUGUGUUACUUUGACCUUACUUACCACUAGUCGUAAAACUGCUCCUGGAUUUACUUGAAUCAGGUUCUCGAAUGUCGUAAUUUUCCUAGCUCCUAACCUAGUCGGCUUAACUAUAACUGUCACUGUAAUAACACCUCCUCGUCCCUCUUUCAAGUUCAAGACGUAGUUGUUUUAUAUCGCUCAGCCACUAGUCACAAAGACGACACGCGGGACUACGAUUUUCAGGAGAACCGUACCUCUAUCGAAUGUGAAUAUAAAGUUUCAACUGAGGACAAAGAAGUAGACGUGUUGACCGUUUGGAACCAAACCAACGUUAGGGUUCUGACUCACGCAAGAGCCCGGAUGCCGACAACUUGAAUAGUCCCUUGAGUUAUCACGCGUAUUGACGUCCUCGAGAAGGCUUUCCAGAAGUGUACAAUUCGGACAGCUUUUUAUUAUAGAGUUAAUAACUUCCGGAAUCUCUUGAUUGCGCGAAUGCGAACGACCUGUAUUCGAUAUUAUCCUAGAGAUCCUAACCGGUACCAAACCGAAGUACAAGAAGAAACUUCCUCAAUAUAGACCGACCAUUGUUCUAGUCACUCCAUCUACCAGAAGUGGCGGAAGACUUCGAUUUUCAAGACCUGAACGCGGUGUUGUUCUAGAGUUGUAGAUUCCCGGAACCAGUUGACCGACGCUUGAUGUUAAGGGAGCUUCGGUAGUUGGAUCUACCGUUGGGCCGUGUCUUCUUGCAUCCACUGGUCGUGGACUUCUUCAUGGACAAUCCAGAGAACGGUUUGGAACGACACAUGUUGUUCGUCGGACAUUCUCGUUGACCGAGUUUUCUCCAGAGCCUGGCAGUGUGUGCGUUCUAGAGAAGAAGGGUAGCAAGACUGGCGUCAAGGUCUAGCCUGGCGUUUAGAAGGUCCAACCACCGACCGUGUAGAAGUGCCGUACGGGCAGGACGUGUAUGAAGUCCGGGAAACCACUUCGUCAGCUCCAGGGCCUUGUACGGUUACCGCCGCGACCCGAGAUCUGGUCACCUUAUACGUCCACGACCUCAAGGUCGCUUCGUUUAAGUCUACCUCCUUUUUAGCGUCACUCUAGUAGGCUCGUCUCGACGGAUCGGUCGGUUCCGAUAACUUGUUCCUACAACGUUCAAAAGGACAAUUCAAACAUUUUAUUAAUUCGAGUUUGUCAUACCACUUCUCGUGAAAAGAAUAUGACGAUUUCUGUACAUAAUAAAAAAAACAGCUCAUGAUGCACCGUCACAAAAACCUAUUUUUAUGUGUCCUUACAACAUUCAGAUCGUGUUUUGUGUUUAUGGAGACACUUAACUUAACCAUGGCAGUCAACCUACAAAAACAGAUC
rnacentral:rRNA from 1 species